rnacentral:rRNA from 1 species
GACGAACGCUGGCGGCGUGCCUAAUACAUGCAAGUCGAACGCAGUCGCGAACGGGAGAGUAACGCAUCGGUCACUACCUAUGAGAGGGGGAUAACUAAUGGAAACGAUAGCUAAUACCGCAUACUAGUAGAUGGACCUGCGUUGUAUUAGCUAGUAGGUAGGGUAAGGGCCUACCUCGGCAAUGAUACAUAGCCGACCUGAGAGGGUGAACGGCCACAUUGGGACUGAGACACGGCCCAGACUCCUACGGGAGGCAGCAGUAGGGAAUCUUCGGCAAUGGGGGGAACUCUGACCGAGCAACGCCGCGUGAGUGAAGACGGUUUUCGGAUCGUAAAGCUCUGUUGUUCAGGAAGCGGUACUUAACCAGAAAGGGACGGCUAACUACGUGCCAGCAGCCGCGGUAAUAC